rnacentral:lncRNA from 1 species
CAAAAUUUAUUCACAAGGGAACAUCACACCCGAUGUGUCGGGGAUUUUGCCGAUGUUUUGUCGUAUGAAGGAGCGUGAACAGUGGAUGAGGAAUCACUCCUAUAUUGGGACCACUACUCUGGCGUUGUUGAGAAGAUCGCUUUUGAAAUUUCGGAGAUUUUUUGUUUUGCUUGGGUGGCGAAUGCUCGGACAUUCUGCUGCAUGUUGCAGUGGCGUGGUGGCUGCGUUGGGGUUCCGACGGUCGGAGGUUGUAGGUUCGAUUCUCUGAUUCUCGAAUUUUUUUUUUUUUUUCUCUGAUCUUG